GUGCUCAUUUUGUCAGCUCGUACGCUAAAAUUGGAAUGAUACCGAGAAGAUUAGCAUGGCCCCUGAGUAAGGAUGACAUGCGAAUUCAUGAAGUGUUCCGUGUUUUU